GCCCAGAUAGCUCAGUUGGUUAGAACAUGCUGCUGAUAAUGCCAAGUUUGCAGGCUCAAUCCCUGCAUGGGACA